rnacentral:rRNA from 1 species
GCUGAGUACGGGGAGGCGGUCGGGGGAAUAGGUGGGGUGGGGUGGUUGAGCGGAAUUACUGGGCGUAAAGUGGGCGCAGGCGGCGUCGCAAGUCGAGUGUGAAAUCCCCGAGCUUAACUUGGGAAUUGCGAUCGAAACUAGGAUGCUGGAGUGUGGCAGAGGGGGGUGGAAUUCCACGUGUAGCGGUGAAAUGCGUAGAGAUGUGGAGGAACACCGAUGGCGAAGGCAGCCCCCUGGGCCAACACUGACGCUCAUGCACGAAAGCGUGGGGAGCAAACAGGAUUAGAUACCCGAGUAGUC